GGGGUUAUGGCCAAGCUGGGAAGGCGUUCGACUGAAGGAAUUCAGCCAAUUUGACCUAAUACGUUAUCGAAAGAUCCCCGGUUCAAUCCCGGGUGACCCCA